rnacentral:rRNA from 1 species
GUGCCAGCCGCCGCGGUAAUACGAAGGAUUCGAGCGUUAUCCGGAUUUAUUGGGUUUAAAGGGUGCGUAGGUGGAUCAAUAAGUCAGUGGUGAAAGCCCAGAGCUCAACUCUGGAACUGCCAUUGAUACUGUUGAUCUUGAGUACAGUUGAGGUGGGCGGAAUGUGUCAUGUAGCGGUGAAAUGCUUAGAUAUGACACAGAACACCGAUUGCGAAGGCAGCUCACUAAGCUGUAACUGACACUGAGGCACGAAAGCGUGGGGAGCAAACAGGAUUAGAAACCCGGGUAGUCC